UAACUUCCAUAUUCAACUAGAAAGGAGGCAUUGACUUGACAUAUCUUUUCAAUUUUCAACCACUCGUGAAAAACCCCAUUUCAAAUCAACACUUUGCUUUUUCUUCUUCACAGCAGAUGGAGGCACCUCAAGUAGAAGCCAUGAGUACUGAGACCAGAAACAACAACCCUCCUCAAGACGAUGAACAAGACAAUAUCAUCGAUACCUGUUGUUCAUGCAUCUACGAGUGCACCGAGACCGUCUUAGAUUAUUUGUUCUGUGGCCUCUGUUAGAUUUUAUUAUUAUCACUUCUCCAGGAGCUUCUUGUUACAUUCAUCCUUUUUUUUUAAUAUUAUUUCUAUGCUACUUUUUUUAUUAUUUAGCACUUAUUUGUUAAUAGCAGAUGCAACACAUCAAUCAGUCAUAUCGUGUGUAGAAUUGUCUGAAUCGAAAUGAGAUGCUUUUUUUUUUC